AAUGUGAGACAGUUAACUGAGGAUGGAGCUGGGGGUCUUUCUCUGGUUUGACCUGGAGGCACUGGCUGCUUUCCCUUAGUGGCUGCUUCUACCUUGUCUUUCCCAUCCUACCUGUUUACCUGCUGACUUGUUGUCAUCUACUAAGCUUCCUGGUGUGAUCCCGAACUAUUUGGGCCAUCUGUCUGUAACAAUGAAGGAAAUGAGACUCAAAGAUAUCAAUAAUAUGGGCACGAUUACCAAGACAGUAAAGAAGUAGAGAUAGGAUUCAAACCCAAAUCUUCUGAGUGCAUGUGAAAUUCUUGACUACGAAGAUUCUUGACUGUGAUCCAGAAAUCAGAAAUCAAGUUAAACUUCAAUAUACAGAUUGGAACUAGAAUGUUUUCCCAAACAGGAAGUUUCCCCACAAUAAAACCAAAGAGACUAUGAUGUUUUCACAUUACCGACUUUAAAAGCUGAACUUUUAAAAACAGAGCAAUUGUUAAAGGGAAAAUGUUAACAACAAAAGGGGGAGAAAGAUGAUGAAAGCAGGGAGAAAGACAAGAAUACAAGAAGUUUUUUAAACAAAAGACUAAAAAUAUUUUUUAAGGCAGCAGAGGAAAAGGCAGGGGAGAUAGGACUCAUAAAAUUACACUUAGCCAGGAAAAAAAUUUAGAGGUAAAGAAUAACAAAAGAGAAAUACACCACUAAAUUGAGAAUAAGAAAUGAAAAAUAACACAGAAAGCAAGGCCCCACCAUCCCAGGAACACUCUCCUGACCUCAAAUGACCAAUUAUCUCAAUAAAAGGCACACAAUAAAACAAAGCACUUCAUUUUUAAAAGAAAAUU